ensembl:lncRNA
CUAAAACUCCUCUGACCCAGUGGUUCAUCAGAACCUCUGGGGAUGUCCUGUGGAUUCUGUGGAUCCUGUGGGUUGCAGGGUGGGUCCUACCUAGACCAGGCUGAUCCUGGACCAUCCCACAGAUGCGCAAUCAGAUCUGGAUGUGGGGAGUGUGGAACCCAGAUGUUCAGAGGGAGAUGAUGCCACAUCUGGUCCAGCCGAUGGAAGGUCUUGAAGUUCUCUGACUGGCCUGGACUGAAGAUGGUCGUCUCACUGGAUUUAAGGUUCAGAUGCUCAGUAACAAACUCCACCAAUGUGCCAACAGGGAAGCUUUAGGUUUAUUAAAUGUUGCUAUGAAGGUUUCGCUGUUUUUCUUUGUGAAUGCAAUGUGCUCCAACUGAAACUUGAAUUAGAACUUAGAAGUAAAUCCUUCCAUCUGAAAGGAUUUAGUUGCAUUAAUAACCUCAUAACAUUCUAAUUUUUAUUCCAGUCUUGGUUGGAAAUAGAAUCUCUGUAUUGAUUUAGGUAAAAACUGAACUUCACAGCAUGUUGGAGCAAAACAACCAGAUGAAAACUGUGAUGGUGUUGGAUUGUCAGACCGUAAUGUUGCAGCUCAAAGCAGCUUUUCUAUCUCAGUUCAUUCUGACAUUCAGCUAUGAAUCAACACAGCAGAUGGUGAUCCAUGCUGUGGAAGUCUCACAUCUCCUGAUUUAAUGGAGCUGCUUUGCACUUUUUACACUGUUUAUUCACCAACACUUUAUUUAAUCAAAGUCCCAUCUAGUUUUCAUGAGGAAUGUGAUGUUUUAAUUUCUCUGUGAAUAACUGCAGUCUAAUGCAACAGCUGGAGUUGUAACAUCUGUCCUCAUAUUGAUCAUGAAGUAUUGAUCAGAAUACUUAUGGUCAGCAGUCAUCCCUGAAGUUUUACAUUAAAAUCUUUACUUGUGUUGUGAACUUUGGUAAGAAGCAGAAACGUUAGCGUUGCCAUGGAUACAUGAGUGUUAAAUUCUGUCCAUGUUUCAUUUUGGGAAAUGCAGUCCAGUUCCACAAUGUGGAGGAAUUUAGUCUCAAAAUCACAGACAAUAAAUAUUAUCUGAAAGUUGGGUUAUUGUUGUUUAUCAGCACAAUACAAAAAGAUUAAUAUUAGAAAUAUUCCAGUUAAGGCUCUAGAAUAUCAUGAUUUAUGUAAAUUUACCUCAAUAAUAUGAAUGUUCAGGUUAAGAUUGUACAGUGAUAUUAUGUAAGUUUAGCUGAUUAAAGUUUAUGACUCUGCACUAAAAUAUUAUUUUAAUUGACAUCAUUAUUAUAAUAUUUAGGGUCAGACCCUACAGUAUUGAGAUUAAGAAAUCAAAUAUUCUAUAAAAUGUAAAUACACUGAACUCAUUUGGAUGUAUUUAAAUGAGACUCUACAAUAUUAUUUGACACAAAUCUAAAUCAAAAUUUUAAUUAUUUUCAUGCCAAACAUUUACUGGACUGAUUUAAAUAUUAAAAUCACUCCUUUCUAAUCCUCUGCUGUAUGUUCAAACCUGAGGCCUUAAAUAGAAACACACAAGUAUCUGAUUGAAGGAACUUCUGCAGAGUCCUGGUUCCAGAACAUGAUGAUAGAAUUAUAGACAAACUUUAACAAAAGCUGCCUGAGAGUUUACAGGUUUUUAUGUUAGAUUUCUUCAGUAAUUUAAUGAGUUAUCAGCAAAAAUCAAGUGUUCAUUUGAUGAACUUCAUUUCCUAAAACAUCCAGAAUUGGAGCUCAUAUCUUUGGCAGCUGUAAAGUUUCUGCUCCUUCAAAGUUCACAACACAAUGAAUGAAUUCCUAAAACACUCUCAGUGCUGGAGAGCGUUUGUGAUGCUGAAG